rnacentral:lncRNA from 1 species
UUUUUUUUUUUUUUUUGUAUAUAUAAUUCAAACAGUUAAAUGGUCUUCUCACUCAUUUUCCUUCAGCUCGUCAGUUUCAAACCAGAGACCAUGGCUCAAACCUCUUGUAACAAUGGCGAAACUGAUGAGGUGCAAUCCUAUUCUGCUCCCAUCAACUCAACUUAUAGUCUUCCACUUGUUAUUUUAAUCAAUUAAUUUGGUGGUUUUCAUUAAUUUUUACAUUUAUGUUUCUUUUUUCCUCUCCAAAUUGCAACCUUUCUAGUAGAUAUUUAGUUUAGGUGAUCUGUUUUUCUUCUUGGAUAUCUUUAAUGCAACCUUUUUCCAUAAUUUAUAUCUUUGGUUUUCCAGGUUUUGGUGGAGGAGCGCGGAAGUGUUAGUACUAUUUUUUUGACAUAUGAUGACAUGUUAUAAGUGAUAACUAUUCCCUCAAACUUAUUUAUCCAGAUAUCUCGGCUUACGGAACUUUUCUAUACGAGUGAAGAAGAUUCUAAUGUGAAGAUGAUAAUAUUAAAGGUAUUUUUAAUAGUAGUAGGAUCUUUUGUGAUAAUUAAAUUUCCUGUCAUAGCUUAACAUGAGGAGGGAAACUUGAUGCUCAGCAUUCUGCCUACAAAAAUAUUUAGAAACUACUUGCAGGAAGAGUUGCAAUGAUUUUGAUUUGCUUUAUUCAAAUCUUAUUUCUUUAUCGAAGAACUUCAGUUUGUUCCCUGUCUCAUCGAUCUCUUGACACUGGGAAGAAAGUUUUUUCCUCAUAGCUUUAGUGACAUUUUCCCUGUAAGGAUAAAGCUGGCUAAUCAGCUACCUCUCUUUGGUAUCUCACUGGUGCUGACCAAUCUAGUGUUUGAUCCCACCUACCUUUCUCCUCGGGAUACAUUAGGCUUAUGUUUCUUGGCAAUCGGAACAAUCCACAUUAUCAACCUCUGGUUGUAUGCUACAAAGUUCUCUUAAUGCCGCCUGUAUAUCUCAAUUGCAGUCAAGAAAUGUUACUACUUUUCUUGUAUCAAUAUUUUCCAGGGACACGGAAGGGCUUUUUGUGCUGGUGGUGAUCUUUCAACUCCUUUUCAUAUUAUUCGCCAGGGUACGUAUUUGCCAAAUUGGUAAUAUCUUGUCAAACACAAUCUAUUAAAAUUGGAUCCAUGAACUGAAGUUUAACUCCCCAAGUAAUUUCUUUCAAUGACAUAAAAUUCAGAUGUUAUCCAAGUCCAUAUCUUUGUACUAUUUACCUGUCAAAUCCAUCUUGUUUCUCACUUUACCUAGAGAUUAGGUUUUGAGCAAUCAAUAUAUAGUACCAGUAAAUGUGUACUCAAGAGUGUGUGAGGUCUCAGGUUCAAGUCUAAGCGGAGAAAAAAAUUAGUAGGUGAUUUCUUCUCAUCUGUCUAAGCCUUGAUGAGAAGAGUUACCUAGUACAUACAAGUGUUGGUAUGAGGUAGCAUGUAUCCAGUGGAAUUCUCACAACUUAAUUUCUGAUGAAGCCAUGACCGGAACCCUGUGCGUUAACUUGACCGAGCGAACCAUCUUGACUUUCUUAUAUGUUCUUAGUCAUAUUAAAAUGUGAGACUCCAUGUAAUUCUUUGAAAAGUAAAUAUAAUAUUGCAUCUCAAGUUCAAGUAAUCACUUUGAAAAUUUUAUAUAAAUGUGUUUAUACCCUCUUAUCAUUGUUCAACUUUAUAACCCACAUUCUAAGACUGUCUAUGAGCCUCUAAGAUUUAGAACCUUGUGCCACUGGCCCUCGAUGAUUUCUAGGUUAUAAAAGAAAUGCAUAGCUUAAUGUCCCCACUUACAUAUUUAUUUACUCAUGCUUAUCAGGUAACUGGCAACUUGGUGCUAAUUAUCUCCGAGAGCAGUACACCUUGAUUUAUAUGAUUGCAACAUAUAGAAAACCCCAGGUUAAAUCUGGUUAUGUCUAAUUUUAGUUCUGUGAUAUUACUUUCUUUGAGGUUCUCCUUAAUCUUGUUUGGACUUCCCAUUGAAGGUUUCCAUCCUUAAUGGAAUUGUCAUGGGAGGUGGAGCUGGUGUUUCUAUACAUGGUAGAUUUCGAGUUGCGACAGAAAAGUCGGUAGAUUCAUUGUCUUGUUUACCCUUUUGUAUUUGAUCUUCUCCACAUUCUUUGUGGUUUGUUUCAAAUGUGUCUAUCUAGGGAGUAACAGUGAUUGUUCAUGUGGAAUAGCUGAAACAAAAUAGCUCUUGGAAUCCUUACAGUUUUGAAUUGAAGGAUUCAUAUCUGGCAGAACUUCAUGUUAUUUGUCUCAGAGAUCUUAUAAAUAAUUUUUACCUUUUUUCAUAUAAAAGGCUCUGGCAUAACUAGAGUGAAGUUGGAGGAAAAUCUUACAAACUGUAAAUCUUCAUGAGCUUUAAUUUGUACCUUGGAUUUGCAUUGAGGGUUUAUUUUUCUUAGGCAGUAAUAUGUACCUUAUUCAUAGAUGGUGCUGGUUCCUACAUGUAAUCGGAUACCAGAAAUUUCAUAUCCAAUGUAAUUUUUAUGUAUGUUUCUCUGUAGGUAUUCGCUAUGCCUGAAACAGCUAUGGGACUCUUUCCUGAUGUAGGUUCCUCUUACUUUUUAUCAAGACUUCCAGGAUUCUUUGGUAAUUUCACUAGCCACAUUGUUCAUAUUUAUAAAGAAAAUUACUGCAAUUGAUGUAGUUCAUUCGAGUUUAUUGUGAAGUUAUCUGCCACUUUUCAUUGUUUGAAAUUUAAGUCACUACCUGGUCCUCAAGCUCCACUAGUUGAGGCUAUAUGUCUUAGGAGAGAAAUGGUUAGCUCAGCUACAUCCUUAAAAUCAAAAGUAAAAAAAAGUCACAAGCAGAAGAUAGGUCUUUUGCUCCUGCAGAAGGUGUUCAAAAGGUUGCCGCACAUGCCCUAUGGAUUAAAGCAGCAGCAACUAUGUGCCUUUUGGUGCAUCUUCUCUUAUAUUCUGAAUUUUCUGGACAUUUUUUUUAUCUGUUUUUCACCAUUUGCCAUUCAUUGAUCAUGUUUCCCUACUUAAAACUAGUUUUUCGCCCGUUGCACAAACUUAGGUCAAUCCUUUUCACAUACAAGUGUCUAUAAAACUUUUUCCCUACAGAUACUUUGGGGUGUUAGCUAGAUGUGAGCCUUAGUUGUCAUAGUUAUGGCUGAAUGUUUAAGUUUAAGUUAUUAUAGAAAUCAGCCUUAGUUUUCAACUUUUCACGGUGACUGCUGAAUUUCUUUAGAUCAUCACAAAUGUAAAAUAUCCUUUGAAGCCAUGUAUAAAAUCUUCUCUACAAGGAUAUUUGAAAAUUGUGGUUUUUAUAAAAUCGUUGACAUUCUAAAUAAUUCAGAAUUAUACCCGAUUUUAUUUAGAGAUAUGAUCCUUCCUUUUCUUCCCUAAUUUUAGUUGUGCUGAUUAUGUUGCUAUUAUUGCGGAAAACCAUUUCCUACAUUGUCAAUGAUGCCCAGAGAAUUUGUACUUACAAAGGUUAUAUCUUGCAGGGGAAUAUGCUGGUCUUACUGGUUCUAGGUUUGAUGGAGCUGAAAUGCUUGCUUGUGGUCUUGCAACCCACUUUGUGUCAUCAGAUGUAUACUACCUUAAUUUUUAGCAUGUUAUGCCCAUUUACAAUUGCUUCUAUAGGAAAUCAUUAUGUUAUCAUAAUGGCAAUACUGAUGCUGCUCCCUUUACUAACUAAAUUUCUAAUCCACUGUUUAUCUGAAGGUGUCAGGCUUAUGGUGUUAAAAUGGUAAUCUUAUCUGUCAUUUGUUAUAUAGGUCUUACAAAUCCUUUUUAGUUAGUUUGGUUGCGGCAGCAGCAAGUUCAAUAGUUUCAUACCUGUAAUAAUCAAUCUUCUGUUGUUUCUUUUCCAAAAUACUAAUUAAAUUAAUUAAUAGAGCUUUAUAGAUGUAUCAUGUAGAGUACAGUGUGCACAUUGAUUUAUUUUUUUUGGUAAUUAGGUACCAACAAAUAUGAAUUCAAAGUACUUGGAGAAAAAUUCUACGGGUUUUGUAAACUACCUUCCCCUGCAGUUCCAAGCUAAUCAUGCUUGUUGGAAUUUGGAUUUUGUCAGCCAUGCUUGAAAUGGUUCUUAGAUGGAUUUAUGGACUUUUGGCACUUCUAAGAUGUGGUUCAUUGAUCUUGAUAUACAUCAAAUUGCAUAAUAUUUGUUUAUUAGUUCAUUCCUCCCGUCUUUGCUCUAUUUGAAUACUUUGUCUCUUCCUUGUGUUCACAGAAAUUGCCACUUUUAGAACAAGAACUAGUUAAAGUCAACACGAGUGAUCCAGAUGCUAUAUCUGCUAUCAUAAGUCGCUUCUCUCACAUACCAAAGUUGAAAGAAGGAAGUCCUUACCACAAGUGAGUUCAUUUAGUAUCUCUAUAUUAUGAUGUUUGUUUUUUUGCUGAUUUAUUGGAAGCUUACCUUCUAAAUUUGCUCUUUAGAAGUCAUUAUCUAUGCUCUUUAUUUUUAUUUUGCUCUCAUGUUAUUUUUCUUCCUGUUGUGGUAAGACUAUUUUCCCUCUAAUUUAUAUCGCAGUUAGAAGCUUAAGAUGAUGGAUAGCAUUCCAAAGUUUCCAUUGUCUCUAGGGAAAAUAUUGUUCAAUUAAGCAAACCUGUAGUCUUUGGAUUUUCAUGACCUCUUUUUCAACAGUGCACCAGUUUUACUUUCUGCAAUUUUAUGCAUGUAGGAUGAAGAUUAUUGAUCGCUGUUUCUCUCGAAGGACAAUUGAAGAAAUCAUAUCUACUCUUGUAAGUUUGGGAGAUGGAUGGUGGUUUGAUGUGUUCUCUUUUUUUUUCUGUGCUGAAAUUACUUUGUAAAAUUUUGAUAAUAUAAGUUACUAAAAUAUGUGUAAGAACUUUGCAUGAAUUUUUUAAUAGGAAAGUGAGGCUUUGGACAAGAAGGAGGAGGACUGGAUCUCUUCAACCAUUCAGUUGCUGAAGAAAGCAUCCCCUACAAGUCUUAAAAUUUCCUUGAGAUUAGUUAGUCAAUCGCUACCUUGUGAUACCAUGAUUUUGUUACCUGAACUUCUGUACCCUUGUUUCUUCAGAUUGAUCAGAAAUCGGUCAUGUAGGAAGUAAGACCAAGUUUUUCUUAACAGCUGCCCCAGAAAGAUCAUUUGGAUUAUACGCUUGGAUUAGGAUUAUUUAUUCUGGAUUUUUAAAUUUGAUACUAGAUUAGUAUUGCUGUGAAGCAAGUUCUUCAAAUAAGAAAUAUGAUGAUGUCUGGCUCACACAACCACAUCUUGAAUCUCUUUCUACACGGUCCUAAUGCCUUGAUUUGGCCAACACUUUCUUUGAAGAGUUCUUGAGUAUCUGCAGAUUGUUCAUAUUAGUUUCCUUUUCUGUUCCAGAUAAGAGAAGGGAGGCUGCAAGGUGUUGAUAUUUGCCUUGUCUGUGAGUAUAGGAUAUUUUGUCAUGUGUUGAGGGGAGAAUUUAACAAGGAUAUUCUUGAGGUAGAAUAUGCCAUCUUUCAGCCACCAAUUCUACGGCAUUACAAGACUAACACUUGACUUUUUACUGCAGGGAUUCAGGGCCAUACUUAUAGAAAGGAUAGAAAUCCUAAGGUGUGUUAUAUUUAUUUGAUCAUGGAUAAUCCUGAACUGAGAUAUCGAGAGCUUCUUUCAUUUUUGUGCUCGCCUUUUCACAUAUUUUCAGUGGGAUCCCUCCAGAGUGGAACUAGUUAGAGAUGUUGAUGUUGAUCGUUACUACACCAAGAUAGAUGAUGAAGACUGGGAAGACCUAAAGCUGCCUCCAAGAUCAUACUUGCCUCCACAUGCAAUUGCAAAGCUUUAAAAUUCACUUCUGAAGAUCUUGCAAUACUCUACAGCAUGUUGCCCUAUGUUCACAAGAUCAUUAUGAAGGCAUCAAUGAUUAUUAAAAUAGUAUUAGAUUCAUUGCAAAAUGGUACACCAAAUAAAUGCAUAUCAAUCAUUCCAUUGAAUUGAGAUCUCAAACCUCAAGCACAAGGGUUGAUUGUACAAUACUAAAUAAUACUUCGCCAUAUAUUUCUGUAUUCGGAGAUAAUGUAUUAAUCUUAAUUUAUUGCAAUGCAAGAACCUGCUACUAGUCUUGCUCUAAAUUAGCUGAUUUACAAGCAAAUGUGCAUCCUGUCUUGAAACACCAGCAGCAUGAAUUUUGAACUUGUGGUUUUUCUUAUCCUUGAUUUUGACUGAUGACAGUUGAGCUAAUUCUCUAAGCAAUAAAAAAAUUCAGUCUUGCCUUUUCUGAAAUCUACCUGUAUAGGUGUUAUGACCAACUUCAUCUUGUGAAUUUUUUUUGACGUUAUUAUGACUGGGGAUGGGGAUGGGGAAAUAGGGGAGGGGUUACAAGGUGGGAAUUUGAUAAGAGCUUAUGCCUUUUGGUGUUUUGAUGAUCUCCUCACAAGUGCAGGGACCUGGUCCUCCGCAGAGUAUGAAUACUCUUCCAGUUGUCAAAGUGCUGUACAGCUGUAAAAGCUGUCCGUGUCAGAAAGUUGGUGAAGCUGCAGAGUACUUCACCAAUCAGAAGCGAGGAGGUUGCGUGUACAUUGGACAAUAAUUCUUCUUGUCUAAUAUAUUCAACUAACAAACAACAAAAAUAUUCAUUCAUUCAAAAGGAGAGAGCCAACACGUAUUCUCAAGAACUUACAAAGAAAAGUUUGCAAGGGAUCUCGUCCCUGCAAGACUGCGAUAUAAAAGGUGACAAGACAGCCGUCAGAAAAGCUGUCACCUCUGACGCGGUACGUGAGCAACUUUUCAGAACAGCAGGCUUUCAGCCAAUAGGAGUGUUUCAAAGAGUUUGUGUUGAUUUAUAUCAUCUCUUUAUGCUUAUACACAAUCUUAAGACUUUGAAAAACAAAAACUCACAAGCUUAAAAGGAAAAAGCCAUCUUCAAGGUAGAACGAUACUUACACUCAACAAAAGGAUCUGAUAAAGGGCUGAAGCAUCUUUGUUGAGUUUGAGUUUUGUUGUCUAUCAUUUUAUAGGUUUUUGUCAUUUUGAAACUUAUCAAGUAUACAAGCAAAGACCAUUUUGGUGAAGUAUUCUCCAGCAAGCACAACAAGGACCUGAUCGAGCUGCAAGCGGCAGAGUGUGUCUUAGGAGUUUUACUUCCGUGCUUAUAUUGUAAAUCUGUUCCUAAUCUAUAAAGGAUUCAGAUUCUUGUGUUCGUUGUAAAAGUCUAAGUCAGUUGAGGCUAACUGAUUUAGUGGGCAGCAUUGGUUGCUGCUUAGUCAAAUUCUAAGUCAUCUAGGAGCUAGUUGAUUUAGUGGGCUGUGUAGUAUCCGCUUAGCAAAGUUUAAGUUAUCUAGGGGUGAUAGCUUAAAGGGCAAUGUUGUAUCUGCUCUGGCUCAUCUAAGUAAUAGGAAGUAUUGCUUAAGAGUUGGGAUUAGUAGGCUAAUCUCAGUUUGUAAACUUGCUUUUACUUUUGCUUGAGAAGAUUAGUGAAAGCAAUUUUUUUGAAAAGUCCUGACAGGCCAGGUCGUGGUUUUACUCCCUUGAGCAAGAAGGUUUCCACGUAAAGUUGUUGUGCAAUCUUUACUUUCAGCACGUUGUUUAUUUUUUGUUAUUUUAACUGUGCUGAGGACCUGGUCCCAUCUAGACCAGUGGACGCAUACAUUCCAACAAGUGGUAUCAGAGCGGUACUUUUCAUUUUGGUUAACACCAAGAAAAGAAAAGAUCCAAAAGGAAUGGUUGCUCCACCUAAUAUGGAAGAAGGUCAGUCUUUUACUAGGCCACCGCGUUUUAAUGGUCAAUAUUAUGGCUGGUGGAAGAAUCGAAUGCAUGAUUACAUCAACGCUGAGGACACUUAGUUGUGGGACAUCAUUCUUGAUGGACCAUAUAUUCCUACAAAGGAGGUGAAGGAUGGAGAACUCACCACUACAGUUGUCAGAACUAGAAAGGAGUACAAUGAGAUGGAUAGGAAAAAGAUAGAGAAGAACUAUAAAGCAAAGAGAUUCUAGUGUGUGGGAUUGGAUCCGAUGAGUACAACAGAAUUUCUGCCUGUGAAUCAGCCAAAGAGAUAUGGGACCGUCUCCAAACAGCCCAUGAGGGAACACAAUGAGUAAAAGAGUCUAAGGUCGAUAUGCUUACAACUCAAUACGAGAAUUUUUGUAUGAAGGAAGGUGAAACUAUCCUUGAAAUGAACUCAAGAUUCACUUCCAUCACCAACGAACUAAGAUGCUUAGGUGAGCCCAUUCUCUUAAGCAAACAAGUUCGCAAGAUUCUCAAGGUUCUUCCCAAGUCAUGGGAAAGCAAAGUUGAUGCUAUAACAGAGGCAAAAGAUCUGAAGACACUUUCCAUGGAUGAGCUGAUUGGAAAUCUCCAGACCUACGAGCUGAACAAAAAGUAGGGGACAAACAUGAAGGAGGGAAAAAAAGAGAAAUUUAUUGCUCUGAAAAACUCACAAAAUGAUGCGACUCAGGAGGAGGAUGAAAUGGCAUAUGUUACUAAAAGGUUUCAGAAAAUCAUCAAGAAACAUGACGUCUUUCAAAAGAAGGCUUCGACCAGCAGAGCAGCAAACGCAAAUGACCUUUGUCAUAAAUGUGGCAAACCUGGUCAUUUUAUGAGGGACUGUCCCAGCCAGAAGCAGGAAACUCAGGAUUUCAAACCUCGCAAGAGGGACCUGGUCCCAGACAAUGCUCGGAGAAAGGCUCAUGCUAAUCAAUUGGUGAGAAAAGCCUUUGUUGUAUGGGGAAAUGAUUCAAGUGAGUUAGAAGAAGAUGCAGAAAGUUAUGAAGAUGUUUCAAUGAUGGCUAUUAAAGAUGAUGAAAAUGUCUUCAAUUCCAUCUUCUUAUUAAUGUCAAAGUCUGAUGAUGAAGAUGAUCUAAAUGAGGUAACUCUUUUUGAUCUUAAAGAUGAUCUAGAUACUUUUCCCAUUAAAAAUUUAAGGAAACUUGUUGCAUUGCUUAUUGACUCUGUUGAUGAACGAACCACUGAAAACUUAAUGUUGAAUGAAAAAUAAGUUUGUGUGAGGAUGAGAACUCUGCUCUCAUGUCUCAAGUUUCUGAAAUGAGUGUAAGAAUAGGGACUAUAGAAACGAACAACAUUAUACCUGAAGAGGAUCCUGGUACCUCAGUAGGUGGAAAAAGAAAGCUUAGCAUCUUUGAGGAAGAACUGGAAGAAAAGCUUAAAAUCCUUGAGUCCAAGUUAGUUGCUUCUCUUGAAACAAAUUCUCAACUGAGAAAGGAUCUGAGUAAGGUCAAAGAGGAGUUAAGUCACUCUCUAAAAUGGACUAACUCUUUUAAGAUACUCUCUAAUCUAUCUAAUCAGAGUUUCAAUGGAAAGAAAGGGUUGGGACGCAGACCAAUAAAACCUCCUUAUAAUUCUCAUAGCAAAUAUGUGUCUGUAUCUGACAAUCUGUUGUGCACUCACUAUGGGCGUAAUGGUCAUCUAAAAGAAAAGUGUUUGACUCUGAGAAAAGCAAAAGUAAAGCAUGAGAAAUUUGUGAGAUCUGAAAACAAUGAUAAAAGGGAACUCAAGGGACCUGGUCCCCGUUAUCAUUUCAGUAAGAACACUUUGCCCUCCUGGACAGGAAGGUUUCUUAUUAAGCCUUUUGAUAGCUAUUGGGAACUACGUCUGAAGUGGGUUCCCAAGUCUAAUAAGUGAUUCUUGUGCAGAAGAGAGGGAGAAGUCAAUGUUGGUACAUGGAUAGUGGAUGCUCAAGGCAUAUGACUGGAAAUACUCUAAACUUCCUCUCUUUGGAAGCACACCAAGGUGGUGGUGUGUCAUUUGGCGGUGGAAAGAAAGGUUUUAUUCUUGGUAUUGGCAAGAUAGGAAGAACUCCAGAUCAUUCCAUAGACAGUGUACACUAUGUGGACGGUUUGAAGUUUAAUCUCUAAAGUGUGUAUCAUAUUUGCGACAAGGAAAAAUGAAGUCAAGUUCAUAUCUGAAGGGUGUGUGGUUACAAACUGUGCAAUUAAGAAAAUUGUAAUGUCUGCAAAAAGAGUCAAGAAUGUGUAUGUUGUUGAUCUUGANNNNNNNNNNNNNNNNNNNNNNNNNNNNNNNNNNNNNNNNNNNNNNNNNNNNNNNNNNNNNNNNNNNNNNNNNNNNNNNNNNNNNNNNNNNNNNNNNNNNNNNNNNNNNNNNNNNNNNNNNNNNNNNNNNNNNNNNNNNNNNNNNNNNNNNNNNNNNNNNNNNNNNNNNNNNNNNNNNNNNNNNNNNNNNNNNNNNNNNNNNNNNNNNNNNNNNNNNNNNNNNNNNNNNNNNNNNNNNNNNNNNNNNNNNNNNNNNNNNNNNNNNNNNNNNNNNNNNNNNNNNNNNNNNNNNNNNNNNNNNNNNNNNNNNNNNNNNNNNNNNNNNNNNNNNNNNNNNNNNNNNNNNNNNNNNNNNNNNNNNNNNNNNNNNNNNNNNNNNNNNNNNNNNNNNNNNNNNNNNNNNNNNNNNNNNNNNNNNNNNNNNNNNNNNNNNNNNNNNNNNNNNNNNNNNNNNNNNNNNNNNNNNNNNNNNNNNNNNNNNNNNNNNNNNNNNNNNNNNNNNNNNNNNNNNNNNNNNNNNNNNNNNNNNNNNNNNNNNNNNNNNNNNNNNNNNNNNNNNNNNNNNNNNNNNNNNNNNNNNNNNNNNNNNNNNNNNNNNNNNNNNNNNNNNNNNNNNNNNNNNNNNNNNNNNNNNNNNNNNNNNNNNNNNNNNNNNNNNNNNNNNNNNNNNNNNNNNNNNNNNNNNNNNNNNNNNNNNNNNNNNNNNNNAUCAGUUUGAGAGGAGCAAAGUGUGGCACCUGGUCCCCCGACCUAUCAACAGAACAAUUUUUGGAACAAGAUGGGUCUUCAGAAACAAACUUGAUGAACAUGAAACCAUUACUAGAAAAAGUCAAGGCUUGUGGUGCAGGGGUACAACCAAGAGGAGGGGAUUGACUAUGAUGAGACUUUUGCUCCUAUAGCCAGAAUGGAAGCCAUCAGAAUUCUGAUAGCAUGUGCUGCUCAUAUGGAAUUUAAGCUCUCUCAAAUGGAUGUCAAGAGUGCCUUCUUGAAUGAGAAUCUGAAGGAAGAAGUGCAUGUCAAACAGCCUCUAGGCUUUGAAGAUACAGAACUACCAAAUCAUGUGUUGAAGUUAGACAAGGCUCUGUAUGGGUUGAAACAAGCUCCCAGAGCUUGGUAUGAACACCUAUCAAUAUUUCUUCUUGCAAAUGGGUUCAAAAGAGGAAUUUGCUGAUCUGAUGAGCAGUGAGUUUGAAAUGAGCAUGACAGGAAAAACUCACUUUCUUCUUAGGCCUGUAAAUCAAACAGUCUGUCAGGAUAACUCUAUAUGUCAAGAGAAAUACAUCAAGGAACUGCUUUGAAAGUUCAAUCCGAUUGAGGCAAAAGUUCUUGACACUCCCAUGAGCAUAAGUGUGAAGCUUGACUUAGAUGAAGAUGGAGUUGAGGGAUGAGUGCAAGAUGAGGCUGGGGAUGCAUAAGAUUACCUGAUUCAUUGACAAGUUUGCACAAAAAUCUUCUAUUUUGAUUAUGUUACGGAGGGAAGGUAUCUAUACUUGUUUUAAUGCUUGUCACUUAAGAAUUCACUUCUGGUACCUUAAUGUAGGUAUACACUCAUGGUGUGUCUAGCUGAAGGGAAGAUUAAAUCAUACUGACAUGGUUGCAAACUGAAAAGGGGACCUAGUCCUCCUAAGGUUAGUAUCACUUACGCUACACUGUCUGUAUGUCAACAUCACUGCCACGUGUCCCUCGCCCAUUCAUCGCGUCAGUUUCAAACGUCUUUUUGCUUAUAAACCAAAGGUCACUACUGUUUGGGGAUCCGAUGUCUUUUUGGUUUUAUAUACUACUUCUCUUAGUGAAUCAAAUUACAAAAUCUCUUCAAACAAUUCUUGUUGAAAUUCACUAAUCCCCUUUCCAANNNNNNNNNNNNNNNNNNNNNNNNNNNNNNNNNNNNNNNNNNNNNNNNNNNNNNNNGAAAUGACAAGGGAGGAAUUCGAACAAUUGAAGGUUGAAAACUAUCCAGUGACUUCACUAAACUUGCCACAAAAUGUGGAGAUGUCAAGAAUGUAGGGUUACCAAAAGGGUUUCUCAAGGGGAAUAUCAGUUGUUGUUUUUUGUUGUUCAUCAACAAGGUGUUAGUUCCUAGAACUAAAAUGAGAACAUUAGCAUCUGUUGUUGAUCUUUUUCACAUGGAGAAGCUUGAUGAACUUGAAGAUAUCAAUAAGGAGGUUGAAAUCGCUUCACUGAGGUCUGAAUUACAGAAGGCGGUUUCGAGGGGACCUGGUACCAGCGAUGGAAAUGAGCAAGUGUUGCAAAAGUUAGGGAUGAAAAUGAAAGGCUGCUGAAGACAAAUGCCUCACCCAGUGAGGAAGUUAAGGCUCUCAACAGGCAGCUUAUCAAGGCUUAUGAGGAUGCAAAUGAGUGUCUGUCUCUAUUUAUGCGCACCCCCACUCCCCUUCCCCUUCCGUCCUAAAAGUGUCUUGUUUCCUUAGUUUUCCCUUUUGUUCUUCAAUCCUAAUUAAAACUCUUGUGGCUUUAUGUUUUGUUGUCUGACUACAGUGGUCAGUAUAUGUGAUCUAAUAUUAUUUAUGGUUCUGCCUUGUUAAUGUGUGGCUUAAUAUUCUCUUUAUGCUUACAUACACAUGUUCUGUGUGGCCCAAGGCCCUGAAUUCUUUAUUUGCCUUGCAUUUAACUUGAAUAUGUUUACUGCUUCACCUUUUCAAUGAUGUCAAAAGGGGGAAGUUUUGUUGUAAAGUUGGUUGUGGAAUAGGGGCACUGAACUAAGGGGGAACUGUGGUUGUUAUGGGCAUUGAACUAAGGGGGAACGAACUGUAGUUGUUACUGGUGCACUAACAAAGGGGGAAUUUGUUAUGUAUUUGAAUGAAUGUUUGUUCACUCACGUGAGGAGUUAUGCAGGUUGUUUGUCAUCAUCAAAAAGGGGGAAAUUGAUAAGUGUUUAUGUUCCUAGAUGUUUUGAUGAUCUCCUCACUAGGAGCAUUGAACUAAAGGGGAACGAAUUGUGGUUGUUACUGGUGCACUAACAAAGGGGGAAUUUGUUAUGUAUUUGAAUGAAUAUCUGUUCACUCACGUGAGGAGUUAUGCAGGUUGUUGGUCAUCAUCAAAAAGGGGGAAAUUGACAAGUGUUUAUGUUCCUAGAUGUUUUGAUGAUCUCCUCACAAGGGCAGGGACACCAAUUAAGGGGGAAACACAAGUUAUUGAAUGAAUGUAUGUUCACUCACGUGAGGAGUUAUGCAGGUUGUUUGUCAUCAUCAAAAAGGGGGAAAUUGAUAAGAGCUUAUGCCUUAUGAUGUUUUGAUGAUCUCCUCACAAGUGCAGGGACCUGGUCCUCCGCAGAGUAUGAAUACUCUUCCAAUUGUCAAAGUGCUGUACAGCUGUAAAAGUUGUCCGUGUCAGAAAGUUGGUGAAACUGCAAAGUACUUCACCAAUCAGAAGCGAGGAGGUUGCGUGUACAUUGGACAAUAAUUCUUCUUGUCUAAUAUAUUCAACUUACAAACAACAAAAAUAUUCAUUCAUUCAAAAGGAGAGAGCCAACACGUAUUCUCAAGAACUUACAAAGAAAAGUUUGCAAGGGAUCUGGUCCCUGCAAAACUGCGAUAUGAAAGGUGACAAGACAGCCGUCAGAAAAGCUGCCACCUCUGAUGCGGUAGGUGAGCAACUUUUCAGAACAACAAGCUUUCAGCCAAUAAGAGUGUUUCAACGAGUUUGUGUUGAUUUAUAUCAUCUCUUUAUGCUUAUACACAAUCUUAAGAUUUUGAAAAACAAAAACUCACAAGCUUAAAAGGAAAAAGCCAUCUUCAAGGUUUUUGCAUUUCCAUCUUCAAGGUAGAACGAUACUUACACUCAACAAAAGGAUCUAAUAAAGAGCUAAGCAUCUUUGUUGAGUUUGAGUUUUGUGUCUAUCAUUUUAUAGGUUUUUGCAUUUUGAAACUUAUCAAGUAUACAAGCAAAGACCAUUUUGGUGAAGUAUUCUCCAGCAAGCACAACAAGGACCUGAUCGAGCUGCAAGCGUCAGAGUGUGUCUUAGGAGUUUUACUUCCGUGCUUAUAUUGUAAAUCUGUUCCUAAUCUAUAAAGGAUUCAGAUUCUUGUGUUCGUUGUAAAAGUCUAAAUCAGUUGAAGCUAACUGAUUUAGUGGGCAGCAUUGGUUGCUGCUUAGUCAAAUUCUAAGUCAUCUAGGAGCUAGUUGAUUUAGUGGGCGGUGUGGUAUCCGCUUAGUUUGCUUGAGAAGAUUAGUAAAAGCAGUUUUUUUGAAAAGUCCUGGCAGGCCAGGUCGUGGUUUUACUCCCUUGAGCAAGGAGGUUUCCACGUAAAGUUGUUGUGCAAUCUUUACUUUCAGCACGUUGUUUAUUUUCUGUUAUUUUAACUGUGCCGAGGACCUGGUCCCAUCUAGACCAGUGGACGCAUACAUUCCAACAGAAUUGAACUUUCACCAAUAAGGUGAACGUUCAGAAAGACGGUUACUGAGCUACUAAGAUUUCUUUGACUUGACAGAUUCCUUCUUUUCCACUUGAUUCUUUUCCAAUUAAGACCUGACUGUGUAGAUCUUUUUUAUUGAUUAACAAAAAUAUGUAAAAUCAUAGUAUUCUCAAUUUUCGUCUCAAAUAUUUUCAGUUGUACAUAAAUCCUAGUAUCAUGUCAGACUAUGGAUUAACUUGGGAUCAAUUGUGGCUCUAAGCAACGUGUUACGACUAGGGAUAGUCUUGGAUCUUAACAUUGCCAUAGUUGUCAAAGUUUGUUUUGAGAAUGUAUUCAACGUCAACAGGGUCAGAACUCAGAAGUAUCAAUCUUCUUCCUGAGAGGGCUAAUAAAUCUGUAAGUCUUGUACUUGCCAGCGAGAUCAGUCAUGUAAUGGUGCAACCUAUGGAUUACUCGUGAACAGUAAACAACAACGACGUAAGUUAAUAUUCAUGCAACUUCUAUCCGUGGUUCUUUCUUUGAAGCUAGAGAACAAAAUUGAAAUUCUACAAUCACUUUCUCCUGAAGUGUGGUCAGGGAAAGGGAAACAAUUGUUAUUCCACUGAAAAUCACAAACUUACAUGGCAUGAAAGCACUUGGGGAGGAAGGUAAAACAAUGAAAAUGUGAAUGUGUAACAAUGAUACAUACCAUACACAGCAAACCUUAUUUCAAUGCACUUGCAUCAUCAAAUGCAUCGCUAAACUUUUUGCCUUCUUCAUUUGAACCACACAUGCUGUCUAGCUCAACUCCAAAAGCAACUCUGAAUAUAGAAUCUAGAGAUGCUUUCAUGAAUAGAUCCUACAUCGAUCACACUAGUAUUACUCAUUUGAUUAUAAGAAAAAACAAGGCACUGUCUACUAUCAUGGACUUACUUGAAUGUCUACUAUCUUGUUGGAUUUGACAGCUUCAGACAAUAUAUGGGCAAACUUAGCUGCAUUUUUUCUGAAUACCACACUACUAAAAUCCCUCAAGACCCUUGUGGAGAAGUCAUGGCUCGACAACUUCCUCUGCUCCCGCCACUUAUCAGCAUCAACUGUGAAAAUUCCAACCCUUAACAAGUCCUUUAGGAUGUAGUAAUUAUACCCUCCCUGCAGAAAUUCGUAAACUCAAGUUUGGCAAUCAGAAAAUCUUUAUAUCAUUCUGUUACAUCUAUUGAGAGAUCCAUAUAUAGGAGUUGAGGCAUUAUGGUAGCUUCUCAACUUCACAUGUAAAUAUAUGACACUUGGACCAAACUCAAUUCCAAAAGCUAAUUCACGAGGAGAGUAUUUCCCAAAUAUAUAUAAGCAGAUCACCAGUUCAUUCCGUGACCAAUAUGGGACUCUAAACCGUUCUAACAAAUUACUAAAUAAUGGGGCUUUUUAGAAUCAAUCAAAUUACAACAUAAAAGAUACAUUACUGGGGAUGUCAAGAUCAAAAUGGCGUACCUUGCCAUAGUUUUCAAAGUUUGUUUUCAAAAUAUAUUCGAUGUUAGCAGGGUCAGAAGUACAAAUCCUAUUCUUGAAAGGGCUAAUAAAUCUGUAAGUCUUGUACUUGCCAGCAAGAUCAGUCAUGUAAUGGUGCACCCGGUGGAAAUUGAUAAGCAGAUUGAAAACGGUGCCACCAAUUGGAUGGUAUCUUUUUUUUUCAUGUAAUUUUUUGGUCAGAAAAUGAAGUAUGAAUACACAAAAUAAGAGAAGUGAGAUAAUGGUGGCUGUUAUGGAUAUAAUAGAGUUAUGAAGAAUAUCCAUGCAAACCACUUCCGUAUCCUUGCACAGCAGGGGCGAAUUUAAGUGUAAAAAAUGGUCACCCGAACCGUGGUCAUCCGACAAAACUCGAUAUAUUAUUAUUAUAAUUCUUAAAAUAUACUAAAUAUUAAAUAAAGGAACCCAUGAUCAUAAUUCAUAAAUAACUGGAUGGUUCACUGGUUCAAGGGUUGGUUUUUGAUUGUGAGGUUAAGGGUUCGAUUCCAAGGACCUCUUUUUAAAAAUUAAUUAAAAAGCACCAUUGUUUGUUACUUUUUUGAAAAGUUCUCAUUUUCUUUUUAUAUAGUGAACUUUUUAAAUUUCUUGAGAUGCAAAAUUGCAUAUAUUUUUUUUAUUUUUUUUAUAAAUGGUUUCUUUUAAUAAUUCUUUUUCAAUCGAUAAUUCAUAUAUCAAUGCAUUUAAUAUUUUUUGUGACAUAGUACUCGAGAUAUAUCAAACUUCUAAUAGUUUUUUCCUUUAAUAUUAUUUUUUCCCGCAAAUCGUAUUUAAUAGUUUUCUUAUUAAAAACCUAUAAUCUAUUAUUGCUAAAAUAAAUAAGACCCUCAAAUUUGUGAGCCUAAAGUGAUUACCUUUUUCUUAAAGGGGCCGAGCUGCCCCUGUCAAUGGUGUACCCGUCUUUUUUGAAAUCCUGAAUUCACCUCUGCUACACAUAUUUGACUUAUAAUACACUCCCCGUUUCAAUUUGAUGGUGUGUUUAUUACCAGCAGAUACACAUAACGUAUCAAAAUAUUUUCUAAUUUUAUGAUCUCAAACAUGUUGAAAUUAAAUAAUUACAAAAAAAUAUACAUUCUUUUUAAAUUAAUUUAAAAGAAGAGUAUUUAAAAGCUUAUAUGUGUGGGCUACAAACAGGGGGAGACCUAGAGGUAGUUAGAGGGUUCACCGAAUUCCUAUUUUAAAGAAUUUUUAUGACUAUAUCUUGAAUGUGAUAUUAGAGGUUGGCUGAAUUCCCUCCAAUAAUAGCCAAACGUGAGGUUGAUCUUGCUUCUGUAUGGAAAUAAGUAAACAAAAAGUCAAACUCCUCUAGAUAUCAAAUUAAUCCCUCAAAUAAUAAUAGCCAAACGUGAGAUUAAUCAAAGUCAAACUCCUCGUAAAUCAAAUUAUGUGCUCAUUAUAUCAAUGUGGGCUAUGGCCAUCCUACAAUGAGCUACAAAUUUUCCACAUUCCUAACUUUAGCCAUGAUUUAUGAUCUGUUAUGUUUAUUUUAACUAAAUUAUAUAUACUUCGUUAAUAAUUAUAGCCAUUCAGUGCAUUAAUCCCUCAACUUGAUAAUCAUGCUAAAUGAGCGUAUGAAAUGGAUGAAUACUAGUGUUUUAACUUGUAUGUAUAAGAUUUUAUUUAUUUAUAUGUCGAAUACAACCUAUAGUAUCUUUCUUCUUUCUCCCAAAUCUCCCUCGACUUUCUCCUCUCUCUAAAUAUAACAUGUGUACGUAUAUCAUAUCUCCUCUCUAUCUCUCAAAUCUUGCUAACGUUUCUUCUCACUCUUUCCUAAUCCCGGCGCUUCUCUCCUCUCUUUAAUUAUAGCUAUGAACCGUAAUUAGGCAAACUAUAAUUAAUGAAGAUAAUUAUAGUUGCUCUAUUUAAAACUCAAAUUAGUCGUUGAAUAAAAAAAGUAAAAAAAUACUCAUGUGUAAGAAUGAUCAAAUAUCCCAUGAAUUUGGUGAUAAGGAUCAAAUAUACCCUUAUAUGAAUUUUAUUUUAAAAAAUCAAAAUCACAUUUCACUUUUGUUAGCGGAAAAAGAUAUAUCUGGACUAUUUGUGUAAUAGUAGAAAUAUAUGUGAGCCUCUUUUUUAAGGAGGAAUACGUCAGCUCUAAAUCCAAAGUUAAAGAGUAAAUCAAAUCAUUUUCUCAAUUAAAAUUCUAAUAGAUUUAGGUGAUGCAAGAUGGUAGUCAAUGAAUUCUCUAAUAGAUCAAUCUUCUGUUCUUGUGAAAGGCGGAUUAAAGUGCCACUAAAAUGUUGUUCAAAAUUUUGAUUUCAAUUCAUUGUUUCUCCAAUAACCUAAACUUUACAUCAAAUUCAAUUCAUUAUGUAUAAUCGAUCUAUCUAUAUUAAUACAUUUACCAAACAGACUGUUAUACUCUAAUUUACCAUGUAGAAUGUGUAUCUAUUUAUUCGACUUUAUAUAAUUUAAGUGUAUUUGAAUACAUCCAAAAUUGGAUGGUAUAGAUGUUAGUUGAAGCCAAAAUUAAAUGAUAUAUUUAUGUAUUAUGUCUUUCUUUUUUUUAAUUUGAUAAGUCUUUAAUUCUAACUUUCCACCUGUCAUGUUUAAAAUCACAAAAUUAAAGAGCAUUUUGAUACAUUCUAUACAUACUCCAUCUGUCCCUAAUUACUUGUCCAUUUUGACAAAUCAAGAAAAGACAAAAAGAAUUUACCUAUUAUACUCUCAAUUAACUACUUUGAAAAAGGUAAAACUGCUUGAAAAUCUUAAGUUUUAAUUCAUCAACUUCAUAAUUAAUAGGGGUAAAAUGAGAAAUUUACUGUGUCACUUAUUUUUUCUUAAUAAAUGUGUCAAUUCAAAAGUGGACAAGUAAUUAGGGACACAGAGAAUAUCUUUUAACGGACUAAUAGUAAUUUUUAUAUUUCAAAGUUGUGGUCUGUGGUCUCUAUAAAUAGAACGAGUCAGCCUGUGAAGAAUAUAUGAGCAUUGAAAAGUGUUUUAUUGGUAAAAUAUAGUUGGAGUUUGUGUAAUUUGAGACGAUGGAUUUAAUAUUGGCAUCGAAAAAAGCAGAUAAAACAAUGAUGGAAGUUGAAGGAGUUGGUGGAUAUUACGGUUGGUCAAAUAGCCAAUUUCCUCUUCUCAGCCAAAAAAAACUUUCUGCUGGAUUAUUACUUCUGCAGCCUCAUGGUUUUUCUCAACCUUACUAUUCUGUUUCCUCAAAAAUUGGUUAUGUUUGUGAAGGUACGUAUGACUAUCUGAGAUAUUAUCUCGACAUACACAGUAGUUAUUGGAGUCACACUUAAUUAUAUCGUCUUGGACAAUCCUUUCUUAUUAAUUAGUAUAAUUUUCACAGGUGAAUGCAUUGUUGGAUUGAUAUCACCGGAAGAUUCAAAAGAAGAAGUUAUAAAAUUACAAAAAGGGGAUGCCCUACCACUUACCUUUAAAACAGUGUCAUGGUGGUACAAUAAUGGCGACUCUGAAUUCAAAAUAAUUUUCUUAGGAGAAUAUGAUGACGAAUACACACCUGGAGAAUACUGCGGUUUCUGUUUAGGUGGAUUCAUCGGCACUCUAAAUGGAUUCUCUGAUGAAUUCAUAGCUAAAUCUUUUCACAUGACCAAAACUGAAUCUGAAAAACUUAUAAAAGACCAAAGUAGAACUAAUCUUUUAAUUAAGAUCAAUGAAGGCACAAAAAGGCCACACCCAUGCAACAAACUUUAUUUCCAUGUUAUUUGGUACUUGAUAGGCUUAUUUUGUUUAUUGAUGUCAUAAACAACAUUCAGGCAGAAUUGGAGUAAUACUAAUAGACAAUAUACAUAUUAUUGUAAAGUCUUUCUAAUUUCACUGUCUGUGAAAGACGCGAACAUGCAAUCCCCCAUCAAUGUGAAGACUAAUCAUUGUUCUGUAGUUGACAGUCUUCUCUUCAUCACUCAACCUGAAAACGAAGUAACGUAACAACAAAGCAGAUAAUAUCUUCAUUUGCCUAUAGGCAAACUCCUUCCCCAAGCAGAUCCUUGGCCCUGCCUGUUUUAUCAACAAAGGAAUGGGCUUAGCUAGUUAUAAUAAGAAAAUAUACAGGCACUAGAAAAAUUAAGUAUUGCCUCGCGUUCAAGGAUCUAACAAAUGAUAAUUAAAGCUAAUAACGUGCUUUGACCAACCUGGAAAGCUGUAAAUUUGAAGGGGUUCUCAGGCCUGAAGAAACCAUCCCCAUCAAGCCAUCUCUCUGGUUUAUAUUCUUCUGCAUCAUCACCCCAUAUAAAUUUCAUUCUUCCCAUUGCAUAUGAUUGGUAAGCCACUAUGUCCCCUUUGUUCACAUUGAAUCCAUCUGGUAAGGUGUCAUCCGAAAAACAUAUUUUCCCAUUCUGCAGUAAGAAGAAAAACAAAAACAACAACUUUAUAACAUGCAUCUAAUUGGCCGGUGAUGUAUGAUAAAAGAAGUUCUUUAUUACCACUGGAACUGCAGGAUAGAGCCUAAGGGUCUCGGUCAAUGCUGCAUGAAGAUAUUGCAUCUUUUCAAGGGCAUCUUCACUUACAUUGGCAGCAAAAUCCAUUAUGUCUGUUGCAUCUUGUUUCUCAUUUGUUGCUUCUUUAAUAUCCUGUGCUACUUUCUCCUGUACAUGAGGAUAUUUGCAUAGCACAUAUAUGAACCAAGAAAGGGUGGUUGCUGUUGUAUCUUUGCCUGCUAUUAUGAAGUUCAACAUUAUAUCACGCAAAUACUUUGGAUCUGUUUCAGCUGUUUGAAGAAACCUUGACAAAGUGUCUUCUUUCUUCCAUUGCAACUGGAAAAAGAUUAUAAUGUCUAAUUAGCAUCUGUCCACAUUAAUAAAAGUAGUAGAUAUAAGACGAUUAACCUACAGAUAAAUCAGCUUCUGGUUUGCUCAUCUGUUCAGUUUUUCUGUGGAUCAGCUUAUAAACAAACUCAUCAAUAGUUCUUAUAUUGUCUCUUAACUUGGCUUCUGAUCCGAUAUUGAGAAAUCUUUUAAUCUUCCAUAAGAUAUCAACAAAUCUCCAAAGUGUCAAUUCACUUGCAUCGUCAAAUGCAUUGAUAAAUUUUUUGCCUUCAUCAUUUGAACCACACAUGCUGUCUAGCUCAACUCCGAAGGCAAUUCUGAAUAUAGAAUCUAGAGUUGCUUUCAUGAACAGAUCCUACAUCGAUAAAACUAGGAUUAUUCGUCUGGUAAGAAUAAAUAAGGCACCAUUCUGUGAAGUCGAUUUGUGGACUUACUUGAAUGUCUAUUAUCUUGCUGGAUUUGACAGCUUCAGACAAUAUAUGGGCUAACUUUGCUGCAUCUUUUCUGAAUACCACACUGCUAAAAUCCCUCAAGAUCCUUGCGGAGAACUCGUGGCUCAAAAACUUCCUCUGCUCCCGCCACUUAUCACCAUCAACUGUGAAAAUCCCAUCCCCGAACAGGUCCUUUAGGAUGUUGUAACUAUACCUUCCCUGCAGAUUAUUCGAAAAACUCAAGAUUGACAAUUCGUUAUACCAUGUUGUCAUAUCUAUUGGGAGAUCCAUAUAGCCAGCUGCAACUUAUGUGGGAGUAUUAUUUUUACAUGUUUUCCUAAUUUAAAAUUUUCUAGUUUGAUUUUACUAUUUAUUAUUUUCAUAGAAAGCAGGAUUCAAAAUCAAAUGUCAUGCUAUUUGGGAUAGGUUUCCUUAUAUAUAGUUGUGGAUUUUGUUAUUUUUCAUUAGACACGAUUAUUAUGAAAAUAUUAUUUGAGAAGCUUCUCUGGUUUACAUCUUUUCAGUAUCAAUCAAAUUCUAACAUUAAAAAAAGAUUAUCUGAGAUGUCAAGAAAAUGGAGUACCUUGCCAUAAUUUUCAAAGUUUGUUUUGAGAAUGUAUUCGACGUUAGCAGGGUCAGAAGUAAAAAUAUCAUUCCUGAAAGGGCUAAUCAAUCUGUAAGUCUUGUACUUGCCAGCAAGAUCAGUCAUGUAAUGGUGCAACCUGUGGAAGUUGAUGAGAUGAUUAAAAAUGGUGCCGCCAACGGGAUGGUACCUCUUUUUUACAUGUACUUUUUUGGUCAGAAGAUGAAGUAUGAACACACAAAAGACAAGUGAAAGAAUUAUGGCUGUUAUGGAGAUGGAGUUCUGAAGAAUAUCCAUGGAAAUACUAAGGCACUAACGUAUCCUUGUGCAUGUUUGGCUUAUAAUGUAUUAUUUAAUGUGUCAUGGGAGUAGAUGCUGGUCCAUCUAAUGCUUAGAUAAUUUAUGGCUCCAUUAGGGACCAUCUCAUAAAACCAAAGACUAAGAUUAUCAACUUGAAAUACAAUCAUAUUAUUAAAGUUUCCUUUUUUGACUUAAUUCAUCUUCAAGAUUUGGUCCACAGUAACAUAGGCUUGGUUUUCUUCGAAAAUGUUAGGGUUAGGCAUUUGAUUUUUGAGAGAUACAAAAAAAAAAUCAUUGGUUUAUCAAAUUAUCUGUCGAGCCAGCAUAAAUUUGAAGUGUUUUAUAUGGUAUCAUUUGCUUCCAAAUCCUCUCCAAGAAUUGUAUUGUUCAAAAGCCAGAAUAACAUUUGAUACUGUUAUGUGUAUUCCAUGUGUUAAUUAAUACAAACGAAAAGAGAAAUAAGCUCAAAUAGAAAAUGAAAGUUGGAGGGAGAAAAACCUCUAAUGCUUAAGUUUUUUAUUUUCGAUACAAGAGUCUACAUGAUUAUUGGGGGAAAAGAUAAAAUGGACACUAUUUCAAGCCAACUAAUAACAGUAAAUGGUGUUGCUUUGAUAAAAAAAAAAGAGCAUAUAUAUAGGCGUAACUUAACUAUAAGGCAACUAAAGCAAUGACUUGUGGCACCAAUAGAAGAUUUAGCAUCUUCUCUCCUAAGGUGUGGUCAGGGAAGGGGUAACAAGGAAAAUGUGAAUGUGUAACAAUGAUACAUCCCAUAGAUAGAAAACCUUAUUUUCAUGCCAGGUUAAUGUUAUUUGAUAGGAUGUUGAUGUCAUAAACAACAUUCGGCCAGAACUGGACCGAUGCUAAUAUACUUUAUUACAUAUUUAUGUAAACUCGUUCUAAUUGCCCUAUCUACGAAAGACACGAACAUGUAAUCCCCCAUCAAUGUGAAGAUUAAUCAUUGUCCUGUAGUUGAUAGCCUUCUUGUCAUCACUCAACUCGAAAACAAAGUAAUGUAACAACACAGCAGAGAAUAUCUUCAUCUGUCUAUAAGCAAACUCCUUCCCCAAGCAGAUCCUCGGCCCUGCCUGUUUUAUCAAUAAAAGAAUGUGCUUAGCUAGAUAGUUAAUGUGAAUAUGUGAUAGUAUAUAGGCACUAGGUUAAUUAUACAGAAUCGCGUCCAAGGCUUCAAUAAAACUGAUAACAGCUUUGACCAACCUGGAAAGCGGUAAAUUUGAAGGGGUUCUCAUGCCUGAAGAAACCAUCGCGAUCAAGCCAUCUCUCUGGUUCAUAUUCUUCUGCAUCAUCACCCCAUAUAAAUUUCAUUCUUCCCAUUGCAUAUGGUAGGUAAGACACCGUGUCCCCUUUGUUCACACUGAAUCCAUCUGGUAAGGUGUCAUCCGAAAAGCAUAGUUUUGUAUCCUGCACUAAGAGGAAAAACAAAAGUAACAACUUAAAGAAUACAUCUAUUUGGCUGGCUGUAUGAUAAAAGAAGUUCUUUAUUACCGCUGGAACUGCAGGAUAGAGCCUAAGAGUCUCUGUCAAUGCUGCAUGAAGAUAUUGCAUCUUUUCAAGGGCAUCUUCACUCACAUUAGAAGCAAAAUCAGUUACAUCUGUUGCAUUUUCUUUCUCAGUUACUGAUUCUUUAAUCUCUUGUGCUAUUUUUUCCUGUACAUGAGGGUACUUGCAAAGCACAUAUAUGAACCAAGAAAGGGUGGUUGCUGUUGUAUCUUUGCCAGCUAUUAUGAAGUUUAAUAUUAUAUCACGCAAAUACUUUGGAUCUGUAUCGGUUAUUUGCAGAAACCUUGACAAAAUGUCUUCUCUCUUCCACUGCAACUGGUAAAACAUUAGUAUUAUAUAUAAGCACCUAUCUGCAAUCUGCAUUAGUUAAAGUAGUAGCUAUAAGGCGAUUCACUUACAGAUAAAUCAGCUUCCGGUUUACUCAUCUCCUCAGUUUUUCUCUGGAUCAUCUUAUGAAUAAACACAUCGACAGUUCUUAUAUUUUCCUUUAAUUUGGAUUCUAAUCCGAUAUUGAGAGAUCUUUUAAUCUUCCAUAAGAUAUCAACAUAUCUCCGAACUGUCAAUGCACUUGCAUCAUCAAAUGCAUCGCUAAAUUUUUUGCCUUCUUCAUUUGAACCGCACAUGCUGUCUAGCUCAACUCCAAAGGCAACUCUGAAUAUAGAAUCUAGAGAUGCUUUCAUGAAUAGAUCCUACAUCGAUAACACUAGGAUUACGCAUCUGGUUACAAGAAUAAACAAGGCACCAUUCUGUGAAGUCGACUUGAUUCAUGGACUUACUUGAAUGUCUACUAUCUUGUUGGAUUUGACAGCUUCAGUCAAUAUAUGGGCAAACUUUGCUGCAUUUUUUCUGAAUACCACACUGCUAAAAUCCCUCAAGACCCUUGUGGAGAAGUCAUGGCUUGACAACUUCCUCUGCUCCCGCCACUUAUCACCAUCAACUGUGAAAAUUCCAUCCCCUAACAAGUCCUUUAGGAUGUAGUAAUUAUACCCUCCCUGCAGAAAAUUUGGAAACUCAAGUUUGGCAAUCCGAAAAUCGUUACACCAUUUUGUUACAUCUAUUGAGACAUCCAUAUAGCUAGCCGGUUGCAACUUAUGUAGGAGUUGAGGCAUCAUAAUUUACUGAUAUACCUUGACCUUGCAACGAGAGUAUUGCCCAUAUACAUAUAAGUAGAUCACCAGUUCAUUCCGUAACCAAAGUGGACUCUAAAAACAUUCUAACAACAAAUGUAAAUAUUACUAAAUAACAGGCCUUUUUAGAAUCAAUCAAAUAACAACAUAUAAUUUGGGGAUGUCAAGAUCAAAAUGGUGUACCUUGCCAUAGUUUUCAAAGUUUGUUUUAAGAAUGUAUUCGACGUUAGCAGGGUCAGAAGUAAAAAUCCUAUUCUUGAAAGGGCUAAUCAAUCUGUAAGUCUUGUACUUGCCAGCAAGAUCAGUCAUGUAAUGGUGCACUCUAUGGAAGUUGAUAAGCAGAUUGAAAACGGUGCCACCAAUUGGAUGGUAUCUCUUUUUUCCAUGUAAUUUUUUGGUCAGAAAAUGACGUAUGAACACACAAAAUAAGAGAAGUGAGAUAAUGGUGGCUGUUAUGUACAUAACUUACUCCCCGUUUCAAUUUAUUACCGGUAGAUACACAUAACGUAUCAAAAUAUUUUGUUCAAAUUAAAUAGUGACAAAAAAAAAAAAAAAAAGACAUUCCUUUUAAAUUAAUUAAAAAGAAGAGUAUUUAAAAGCUUAUCUGUUUGGGCUACAAACAGGGGCAGACCUAGAGGUAGUUAGGGGGUUCAUCGAAUUCCUAUUUUAAAGAAUUUUUAUGACUAUAUAUUGAUUUUGAACCUCUUGAACGUGAUAUUAUAGGUUGGCUCAAUUCCCUCCAAUAAUUGCCAAUCGUGAGGUUGAUCUUGCUUCUGUAUGGAAAUAAGUUAACAAAAAGUCAAACUCCUCUAUAAAUCAAAUUAAUCCCUCAAAUAAUAAUAGCCAAACAUGAGAUUAAUCAAAGUCAAACUCCUCGUAAAUCAAAUUAUGUGCUCAUUAUAUCAAUGUGGGCUAUGGCCACCCUACAAUGAGCUACAAAUUUUCCAUAUUCCUAACUUUAGCCAUGAUUUAUGAUCUGUUAUGUUUAUUUUAACUAAAUUAUAUAUACUUCGUUAAUAAUUAUAGCCAUUCAGUGCAUUAAUCCCUCAACUUGAUAAUCAUGCUAAAUGUACUAGUGUUUUAACUUGUAUGUAUAAGAUUUUAUUUAUUUAUACAUCGAAUACAACCUAUAUUUAGUAUCUUUCUUCUUUCUGCCAAAUCUUCCUCGACUUUCUCCUCUCUCUAAAUAUAACAUGUGUACGUAUAUCAUAUCUCCUCUCUAUCUCUCAAAUCUUGCUAACGUUUCUUCUCACUCUUUCCUAAUCCCGGCGCUUCUCUCCUCUCUUUAAUUAUAGCUAUGAACCGUAAUUAGGCAAACUAUAAUUACUGAUGAUAAUUAUAGUUUCUCUAUUUAAAACUCAAAUUAGUCGUUGAAUAAAAAAAAGUAAAAAAAUACUCAUGUGUAAGAAUGAUCAAAUAUCCCAUGAAUUUUGUGAUAAGGAUCAAAUAUACCCUUAUAUGAAUUUUAUUUUAAAAAAUCAAAAUCACAUUUCACUUUUGUUAGCGGAAAAAGAUAUAUCUGGACUAAUCAAAAUCACAUUUCACUUUUAUUAGCGGAAAAAGAUAUAUUUGGACUAUUUGUGUAAUGGUAGAAAUAUAUGUGAGCCUCUUUUUUAAUGAGAAAUACAUCAGCUCUGAAUCGCAAAGUUAAAGAGUAUAUCAAAUCCUUUUCUCAAUUAAAAUUCUAAUAGAUUUAGGUGAUGCAAGAUGGUAGUCAAUGAAUUCUCUAAUAGAUCAAUCUUCUGUUCUUGUGAAAGGCGGAUUAAAGUGCCACUAAAAAUGUUGUUCAAAAUUUUGAUUUCAAUUCAUUGUUUCUCCAAUAACCUAAACUUUACAUCAAAUUCAAUUCAUUAUGUAUAAUCGAUCUAUCUAUAUUAAUACAUUUACCAAAACAGACUGUUAUACUCUAAUUUACCACGUAGAAUGUGUAUCUAUUUAUUCGACUUUAUAUAAUAUAAGUGUAUUUGAAUACAUCCAAAAUUGGAUGGUAUAUAUGUCAGUUGAAGCUAAAAUUAAAUGACAUAUUUAUGUAUUAUGUCUUUCUUUUUUUUAAUUUGAUAAGUCUUUAAUUCUAACUUUCCACUGUCAUGUUUAAAAUCACAAAAUUAAAGAGCAUUUUGAUACAUUCUACAUACUCCCUCUGUCCCUAAUUACUUGUCCAUUUUAACUAAUCAAGAAAAGACAAAAAGAAUUUACUUAUUAUACUCUCAAUUAACUACUUUGAAAAAGGUAAAACUGCUUGAAAAUCUCAAGUUUUAAUUCAUCUACUUCAUAAUUAAUAAGGAUACUUAUUUUUUCUUAAUAUGUGUGUCAAUUCAAAAGUGGACAAGUAAUUAGGGACACAGAUAAUAUUUUUUAACGGACUAAUAGUAAUUUUUAUAUUUCAAAGUUGUGGUCUGUGGUCUCUAUAAAUAGAACGAGUCAGCCUGUGAAGAAUAUAUGAGCAUUGAAAAGUGUUUUAUUGGUAAAAUAUAGUUGGAGUUUGUGUAAUUUGAGACGAUGGAUUUAAUAUUGGCAUCGAAAAAAGCAGAUAAAACAAUGAUGGAAGUUGAAGGAGUUGGUGGAUAUUACGGUUGGUCAAAUAGCCAAUUUCCUCUUCUCAGCCAAAAAAAACUUUCUGCUGGAUUAUUACUUCUGCAGCCUCAUGGUUUUUCUCAACCUUACUAUUCUGUUUCCUCAAAAAUUGGUUAUGUUUGUGAAGGUACGUAUGACUAUCUGAGAUAUUAUCUCGACAUACACAGUAGUUAUUGGAGUCACACUUAAUUAUAUCGUCUUGGACGGUGGUACAAUGAUGGUGACUCUGAAUUCAAAAUAAUUUUCUUAGGAGAAUAUGAUGACGAAUACACACCUGGAGAAUACUGCGGUUUCUGUUUAGCUGGAUUCAUCGGCACUCUAAAUGGAUUCUCUAAUGAAUUCAUAGCUAAAUCUUUUCACAUGACCAAAAUUGAAUCUGAAAAACUUAUAAAAGACCAAAGUAGAACUAAUCUUUUAAUUAAGAUCAAUGAAGGCACAAAAAUGCCACACCCAUGCAACAAAGUGAAACACAAGUUGGUUUUUAACUUGGAUAGUGCUAAACCUUGUGUUGAGGUAAAAAAUGGUGGAGUUUUAUCUGCGGUAACUUGUAGGAAUUUACCAUUGCUUGGAGACGUUGGAUUAAGCGCGAAUCGCGUAGUUUUGGAAAGUGGUGCUUUAUUUGGUCCGAUUUUUACAGCGGAUUUAUCCGUUCAAUUGAGUUAUGUUACGAAAGGAAGUGGACGUGUUCAAAUUGUGGGACCUUUACGUAAGGUUGUGUUGGAUACUAAAGUGGAAGAAGGUGGAUUGUUCUUUGUUCCAAAAUUCUUUCCAUUUGUUGUAGAAGCUGAUGAAGGAGGAAUGGAGUUCUUCUCCGUCAUAACGUCAUCAAAGUAAGUACUAUUAUUUAUGAUAAUUGAUGCUAUAGUUCAGUUAAAAUAUAAUGUAUAUAUAUUUGCAGGCAAGUAUACGGAGAAUUAUCAGGUGGGAAAAAAUCAAUUUGGGAAGCAAUAUCUCCAUCAGUUUUAGAGGCCUCUCUAAAUAUGACUCCGGAUUUGACUGAGUACUUCAAAUCCAAGAUUGCUAAGGGUGCAGUGAUUGCUCCACCUUCAACAAUUUAAGUAAUAGUUACUUGUUAGACAUUUGAGAUGUGUACCUAUGUUUAACAAGUAUAAUAAUUUCAUGCUUGAAAAUAAAAUGGAUGAUGAAGUAGAUCUACACUACUACUUCGGUUAUUCCACAUAUGUAAGUAGAGUUGUCAAUAGCUAGCCCAGCUCUGUUAAAUCAUGGGUUAGGUCAGGCCGGCCUAACGGGCUUAGCCGUUAGUGACGACUCUAAAUGUAAGCAGCUUUUGUUUUAGCUUUUUCUGAAUGCGCGCAAGCUUAUAUGCUGCUGUGUGCCAGUAUGUGUAUGUUAUAUAUAUGAAUGUCUUCUUCAUCUUAAGAAUAAAAAGGAAAUGAAUUUGGUGGUUAGUUCAUGUUUACAUCUUGUUAAAUUAGUGUCCAUAAGACAUAUUUCACAUUUUUAUGAUCGAUAAGCAUUAAUAAUUGAGACACAUUUCACAUUUUUACAUUGUUAAUCUAUCUAUAUCUAUAUAUAUAUAUAUAUAAUAUAAUAUGGUCAUAAGUAAAGUAAUGUGAUACCUCUAUUUGCCCAAAAAUGACCUUUUAUCUAAACUAAACUCAUUAUAAAGAAGUCAACAUUUUAGUAUAGGUCAAAUAUAUUAUUGAAGUUGGCUUAUGAAACUAACGAAUUCAUUUAAAUUUGUUUUAAAAAAAAAUUCCCUGAGUUGAUCGAGUUAAUCAAAAAUAAUAUUUUUAUUCAAUACAAAAGUAAUAGAAUGACAGAUUUGUGUAUAUCCUUUUCUCGGACAUUUGUUCAUGUGAAAAGAUUUAGCUAUAAUUUCAUUAGAGAAUCCAUUUAUAAUACCGGUGAAUCCAGUUAAGAAGAAACCACAGUAUUCUCCAGGUGUGUAUUCAUCAUCAUAUUCUCCUAAGAAAAUUAUUUCGAGUUUAGACUCUCCAACAUUGUACCACCAUGACGCUUCAUUCAUGGUAACCAGUAGAAUAUCCCUUUUUUGUAAUUUUAUACUCCCUCUGUCCCAUAUGAACUGAUCACCUUUCUAAAAAUACUUGUCCCAACUAGUGCUGGCAAAAUGAGGUCAUAUUUUGGUAACCCGCUCAAUUCAUCCAUAUUUUAAUGGGUUGGGUGAAUGACUUUUUACAUGGAUAAAAUAUGGAUUGAUACCCAUAUUCAACUCAUAAAAAUAUAGGUAAAAUAUGGAUUAACCAAAUGAGUUAAGCUUCUAACUUUUUUUCACUCAAAAUUCAUGAUAUCACUAAAAAUAUUGUAAAUUAUCUUCCUUUUUAUGUUCUUCUAUAGAAAUAAUUAUUUUUCUCUAUAAUUAAAAAUGUGAAGUCUUUAGCCCUCCAAAAAUAUAUAUUUUAAAUGUACAUUUCUUUUUGUUAAUUAUAAUUAUUGUUUUUUUAUUUGUUUAAUUUUAUAUUAGAUAAUAAAUAGUAAAAUAAGUAAAUCAUGUAUUAGAAUUGACAUUGCUUAAAGUGCAUUAAGCAUUUUUUAGUCCUAAAAUGCAAAUAUUCAUUUACUUUGAAAUUAAAAAUAUUUUCCCCUUGUUUUUACAUAAAUAUAUUUUAUAUUGAAAGUUAUAGGAUAAUUUUUCGACUUUUAUGAUACAAUAAAACUAAUAAAACUAAAUGAAACAUUUUCAACAUUUUUCAUCUAUAAAGAGACUAAAAUAUUUUCUCCAUGUUGAAUUCUUAUGUAGAGUACUAUUUACUCAUGAAAAUAUGUGUAAACUAGUAUUUUACCCAACCUAUUUGUUACCCAAUCCAUUUUUACCCAUAUCAAAUAUGGGCGGGUUGAAUUAUUACCCAUUUUCAUUUUAUGUUAACCCAUUUUCAACCCGCCCAAAUUUGACCCAACCCGCCCAUUUGCCACCACUAGUCCCAACUCAUUUCACCCCUAUAAUUAAUAACAUCAUCAUGCUUAAUGUUUCCAUUAGGGGUGUACAAAAUCGAAUCAAAAAUCGAGUCUAACUGAACAAAAAACCCGACUAGUGGUUUGGUUUGACUUGGUUUGGUAUUGAAAAAAAAAACUCGAUUAUAUUUGGAUUGGUUUGGUUUUAACUAAAAAAACCAACCCGACAUUAUAUAUGUAAUUUUAAAUUUUUAUUUUAUACAUAAAGAUAUUUAUACUAUUUCGUAGUUUUUAUCUUUUAAUAUAUUAUUUCAAGUUUAAAACUUAGAAUUCUGAAUGGUUCAAUAAAGAUUAUANNNNNNNNNNNNNNNNNNNNNNNNNNNNNNNNNNNNNNNNNNNNNNNNNNNNNNNNNNNNNNNNNNNNNNNNNNNNNNNNNNNNNNNNNNNNNNNNNNNNNNNNNNNNNNNNNNNNNNNNNNNAAUUCAACACUAAGAAUGACAAUAAUAUUGAAUAUGUGUUCUUUAGUUUUAUAUUGGUUUAGACAAUUAAGAUACAUAAUUUAAUUUUAAUUAUCCUUAAAUAUUUAGUAAUGUAACUAAUACUUAUUAAACUUAUUUUAGCAUGAUUUAGUACUUUUAAAUUAUGAUCAUUUUCAUAAUGAAUUUGCAAUAUUUAUUUAUAUGAUAAUUUCAUUAUUAUUUUUUAUUGAAUAUUUUAGUGUCAUCACUCAUCUCAUAUUUUGUAUUAUUUUCUUAACAAACACCUUAGAUAAUUGUAUUUUGGGUUGAACUAAAGAAAUAUUUGGAGCAAAAUUCGACACAAUGGUUUGGUUUGGUAUUUGAAAAACCCGAACCAACCCGAGGUUAAAAAAUCUGAAUUUUAUUAGUUUGGUUUGGUUUAUAAAUUUAAAAUUUUUACUACAAAUGAUUUAGUUUGAUAUUUGAAAAACCCGAACCAACCUGGUCAUGUACACCCAUAGUUUCCAUAAUUUCUUUUUGGAAGGUCAAACAAAAUUAAAGUUCCUAGAAUUUAUCUUUCCAAAGAGUUCAUUACAUACUUAAUUACUCAUUUGUACUAUUGCUCUCAUCCUUUUUGGAGUACUUAUACCUUUUGUAUGGCCUAUGUCAUCAUAAAUUAUCUUGAUAUCCAUCAAUAUAGAUAAAGAGUAAAUUAGUCAAAUUGAUCAUUUUAUUUAUGAGUUCUUAAGCACCGUGUAAAAUGGAAAGUGAUCAAUUAUUAUGGAACGGAGGGAGUAAGUUCUUUUUUUGGAUCUUUUGAUAAUAUCAGUCCAACAAUGCAUUCACCUGUGUGAGAAUUAUAUAUAUGAUUACGUUAUAACAAUAAUUAACAGGAGAUCGAGGAUUGUCCAAGACCAUAUAUGUCAUACGUACCAUGACAAACAUAAGCAAUUUUUGAGGAAACAGAAUAGUAAGGUUGAGAAAACCCAUGAAGGUGCAGAAGUAAUAAUCCCCCAUCAAUGUGAAGAUUACCCUAUCUACGAAAGACACGAACAUGCAAUCCCCCAUCAAUGUGAAGAUUAAUCAUUGUCCUGUAGUUGAUAGCCUUCUUGUCAUCACUCAACUUGAAAACAAAGUAACGUAACAGCACAGCAGAGAAUAUCUUCAUCUGUCUAUAAGCAAACUCCUUCCCCAAGCAGAUCCUCGGCCCAGCCUGUUUUAUCAACAAAAGAAUGUGCUUAGCUAGAUAGUUUGAAGGGGUAAAUGGAGAAGAUAAAAGGGGAUAGUCAGGAGAUUAUUUCAACAUUGGGGGGCUGAUAUUUACGUUCUGGUUGAGACAAAAUUAGGAGGACCAGAGGUGAAUGUAUUCAAACAAUUAUGGCAAAAUAGAUGGAUAAGGGAAUUUCAUUUGGAUGUUAUAGGCAGAAGCAGUGGUAUCGUAGUAAUGUGGGAUAAGAGGGUGUGGAGAUGAGUGCUGGUGAUAGCAACAAACCAAAUUGUAACCUGCAAGUCUGAAGGCUUUAAUCAGACAUUCACAUGGUUUCUUUCAGCUGUGUAUGCUUCAUGUGAUCCAAAUAAUUAGAAGAGGACUUUGGCAAGAAUUCAUCAACAUCAAAGAAUUGUGUAAUGGGCCUUGGGUAGUUUGUGGAGAUUUUAAUGCCACAAAAUAUCCAAACAAAAGAUCAGAAGGGCACAAAACUACUACGCCAAUGACUGAAUUUUCUGAAUGGACAAUGAGAUGGAGUUCAUGGAUCCUCCUUUAUUUGGGGGGUCUUUCACAUGGAGAAGGGGGGGACAACCACAUGUCUGCCUCCAUAAUUGAUAGGUUUUUAUUCUCUUCCCAGUGGGAUGAGACCUUUACACGGAUUAAACAAAACAUGCUUCCCAGAAUAGGCUCUGACCACAAUCCAAUUAUGCUUGAAUGCGGAGAUUUAAAUUUGAAGAAGUCUUACUUCAAGUUUGAACAAUUGUGGUUAAGGGUAGAGGGUUUCUCAGACAAGGUUAAAGAAUGGUGGGCAUCUUUCAAUAUCACUGGUACGGGCUCUUAUGUCGUAGCCUCAAGUUGAGGAUGCUAAACGGGAAGCUAAAAGAAUGGAAGCUGGAGAAUAGGGACAAUUGGAAUCAGAGAAAAGAGGAAAUUCUAAAUUAGCCAUCAAUUUUAGAAAAGACUCAUGAGUUGAGACUACUAUCAGAGGAUGAAUUACUUCAAAAAGUACCAUCUCUCAAUGGAGUUUGAAGAUGUUGCAAAAAAUGAGGAAAUAGCUUGGAGGCAGAGGUCUAAAGUACAUUGGCUCAAACACGGAGACAAAAAUAUCAAGUAUUUUCACAGGAUGGCUACAUCCCAUAAAAGAUUUAACACUAUUGACAAGUUGAUGGUGGAAGGGGUUACAGUAACAGCUUUAGAAGCAAUUAAAGGAACCUUUGACCAACCUGGAAAGCUGUAAAUUUGAAGGGGUUCUCUGGCCUGAAGAAACCAUCUCCAUCAAGCCAUCUCUCUGGUUUAUACUCUUCUGCAUCAUCACCCCAUAUAAAUUUCAUUCUUCCCAUUGCAUAUGGUAGGUAACACACCAUGUCCCCUUUGUUCACACUGAAUCCAUCGGGUAAGGUGUCAUCUGAAAAGCAUAUUUUUGGAUCCUGCAGUCAGAGGAAAAACAAAAAUAUGAACAUAAAACAUACAUCUACUUUGCCACAGAUGUAUGAUAAAAGAAGCUCUUUCAUACCAAUGGAACUGCAGGAUAAAGCCUAAGAGUCUCUGUCAAUGCUGCAUGAAGAUAUUGCAUCUUUUCAAGUGCUUCUUCACUCACAUUAGCAGCAAAAUCCAUUAUGUCUGUUGCAUCUUUGUUCUCAGUUGUUGCUUCUUUAAUCUCUUGUACUACUUUCUCCUGUACAUGAGGAUACUUGCAAAGCACAUAUAGGAACCAAGAAAGGGUGGUUGCUGCUGUAUCUUUGCCAGCUAUUAAGAAGCUCAAUAUUAUAUCACGCAAAUACUUUGGAUCUGUAUCAGUUAUUUGCAGAAACCUUGACAAAAUGUCUUCUUUCUUCCUCUGCAUCUAGAAAAAGAUCAAAUAUCUAAGCAUCUAUCCUCACUAAUGAAAGUAGUAUAGCUAUAAGGUGAAUCACUUACAGAUAGAUCAUGAGUUUCUGGUUUACUCAUCUGCUCAGUUCUUAUGUGGAUCAGCUUAUAAACAAAUGUAUCAACAGUUCUUAUAUUGUCCCUUAACUUGGCUUCUACUCCGAUAUUGAGAGCUCUUUUAAUCUUCCAGAAGAUAUCAGUAUAUCUCCAAGUUGUCAUUGCAUUAGCAUUGUCAAAUGCAUCGCUAAAUCUUUUGCCUUCUUCAUUUGAACCGCACAUGUUGUCUAGCUCAGCUCCGAAUGCAACUCUGAAUAUAGAAUCUAGAGAUGUUUGAAUGAAUAGAUCCUGCAUUGACGACACUAGGGUUACUUGUCUGGUGAAAACAGAAAAGGGUUGUUUAAGCCUUAAUGUAGUCGAGUCAUGGAAACUUACUUGAAUGUCAACUGUCUUGUUGGAAUUGGCAGCUUCAGACAAUAUUUGAGCUAGCUUUGCCACAUUUUUUCUGAAGACCACACUGCUGAAAUCCCUCAAAACCCUCGUAGAGAAUUCAUGGCUCAAUAAUUUCCUCUGCUCCCGCCACUUAUCUCCAUCAACAGCGAAAAUUCCAUCCCCGAACAGGUCCUUCAGAAUGCUAUAAUUAUACCAUCCCUGCAGAUAAUUUUAAAAAAAAAUUCAAGUUGGCAAUCCAAGAAUCGUUCACCAUUUUGUUACAUCUACUGGGAGAUUCAUAUAGCCGGCUAAAACUUAUUUGGGAGUUGAGGCAUGGCAAUUAAUUGAUAGACUCACAGAUCCUGGAAUUCAAUCAGAUACAUUUCCAAUUUCCCAACUCCAAAUACUUUGAAUUUACCCAUGAUUUGCUACUACUGUACAUCUAUUACUAAUAUGGUUUUUCAGAGUCGAUCAAAUUCCAACACUAAAAAAGAUUAUUUGGGAUGUCAAGAAAAUGGUGUACCUUGCCAUAGUUGUCAAUGUUUGUUUUGAGAAUAUAUUCGACGUUAGCAGGGUCAGAAGUAUAAAUCUUAUUCCUGAAAGGGCUAAUCAAUCUGUAAGUCUUGUACUUGCCAGCAAGAUCAGUCAUGUAAUGGUGUAACCUGUGGAAGUUUAUAAGCUGAUUGAAAAUGGUGCCGCCAAUUGGAUGGUAUCUCUUUUUCCCAUGUAGUUUUCUGGUCAGAAGAUGAACUAGGAACACACAAAAGACAAGUGAGAGAAUUGUGGCUGUUAUGGAUAUGGAGCUCUGAAGAAUAUCCAUGGAAACCACUAAUGUAUCAUUGUGCAUAUUUGUCUUAUAAUGUAUCAUUUAUAUACAUAAUGGGAGUAGAAGGUAUUCGAUCCAUCUAAUGCUUAGAUCAAGUUUCCUUUUCACUUAAUUCAUCUUCAAGAUUUGGACCACAAGAAUAUAGGUUUGGUUUUCUUAGAAAAAUGUUACUGUUAGCCAUUUGAUUUUUGUGAAACAGAAAAUGCAAUAAUCUUUUGGCCAAUUUUCUGAUGCUAGGUAGCUGCUAAGCCGUCAAGAUGUCAAGUAUCCAAUGUUUCUAAGUCAUUUGUGCAACAUGUUUUAUAGGGUAUCAUCUUUUUUAUAGCCAGUUUGGCAAGAAAAAAACUGCAAAAGCUGAUCCAAUUUACUGUAAUCGAUUAGUUAACAUGUCAGUUAAAUGUAUUCUUAAAUACGGAAAAAAUCAUUGGUUUAUCAAAUUAUCUAUCGAGCCAGCAUAAAUUAGAAGUGUUUUAUAGGGUAUCAUCUGCUUCCAAAUCCUCUCCAAGAAUUGUGCUAUUCAAAGCCAUAAUAACUCUGUUAUGAGUAUACUAGUUCAUGGUCUCUCGGUCAAUUGCGUACUCCAGUACCAUGUCUCAGUUGAAGCACAUUGUUGAUUGGAUAUUUUUCUCUAUCUCUAUUGAAGAAACUUUCUCCUCAGUUUUAGAAUAUUUCUUCGUUGGAAUGUGAGUCAUGUCGAUUUGCAAAACACCAUUGCAUGUCGUCACAUCCAAGAGUUAAUAAGUGAGUUGAAUUAGCUUUUGAGCUAGUUCAUUUUGAUGUUUGGAGACCAUGUCCUGCGGACCAACAUAUCAUACAACAGUGUCACAUGCCUCGUAAGAAUCCCUUGGUGCAAUAUAGAUACCGUCUAUGCCGUACAAAUUCAAUGAGAUGGUCAGCUUAAACUUUUAGAUGAGAUAUAUAGUCACACACUUCAACAAAGUUUCUGUUUUUAUCAGAUAAAAAGUCCUGGACACGUGCGUUGCACGUGUAUUCGUAAUAAUUAAUAAAUACUAUUAAAAUAUUAGUGUGAGAUUCAAAAUUAAAUUAAAAGAGGAAAAAACUCAAAUUGAUAAUUGGUGUUCAUAUAUGUCAAAACAAUAUCGUAGUUGAACUUGAGAUGAAUGAGUAGAACAAUUAUAUUUUAAAACUAAUUAUUAAAGUUAAAAAACUUGACUCAGACUCUUUCUAAGAAUCUCUCCGGCACAACAACGUACAAAUAAAAAUCUUAACUAAUGUAUAUUAACAUUAUAUUAGAUAUUAAUUUAACGUAAAUAGAGUAAGUAUUUGACUCAAGACUUUAGAUGAUACAUAUGUACCGUGAUAUUAAAUUUGUUAUAGUCUCAUUCAAAUUAACAUAAAUUCUUAUUAUCUAUAGCUAUCCAUGUGCCUUUUGACAUAGCUAGUGUAAGCAUGAAAAAACAACUUUACAUCAUCUAAUAACAACAUAAUAGCAUUCUUAUACACAAACUUAUAAAGAUGAGGCUUUAAUUUGGGUAAGUACAAAUUCAAGAAAUAAAUUACCAUAUAAAAAGUGAUUUAUUCACUUUAAGAGGUGUUUUUACUCUAUCAAAUAGAGUUUAAAUGACCCCCUUCAUUUUCAAGACAAAAAAAGAAAAAGUUUCUUUAGUGUUAUUGUUUUACUUCGGCCACUAAUACUAUAGUCGGUAGUUGCACACAAUCCACAAAUUAUAUGACGUUUUCUUAAUUUAUCAAAUAUUUAAUUUAUGUGAUAGUUCAACAAUACAUAGUUCAAAUAUGAAUAUGAGCAACUUCGCUUAUGAUUACAAAUACUUCAUGCCUUAAUGCUUGUGUCUUGUCUUUACAAAAUUGUAACCUACACCAUAUUACAGUCAUAUGUUAAAGUUGUACGGAAAUUCAAUUAACAUAUAUCUUUAUUUGGAUGCAUGGGAUCAUUGUCAAUUUCGUGAUGUACACCUGGGGAAGAAAGUAAUAACUACUUGUUAUAGAGAUCCUUAAUAACUAUCCACAUAAGAAUAUUAAUAUGAUACAUUUAAAACUUGGGAGUAUUGUAAAACUGUAUUGCAUCUAAAUAAAGGAUAUGAACAAAUUUAACUGAAAAUAAAAGAAGCAGAGAGCCCGAAGAAAAUUAAAAGUUGCGGGAUAAGAUUAGGUUGUGGAUAACGUUAGAAAUAAUUAGUAAGUUGAUAAUAAUCUAUAAAUAUAUUUGUUCAAAGUUAAAAAUUUUAUUUUGAUUACUUUGAGUUUCUGAAGAUAGAGAGAUAAGUACUAAUCAAGCAGUUGGUAUACUUCAUCCAACAAUAAUAUAAAUACCAAAUCAGUUUUUGAAAGUAAAUACAAAGUGAGAAAGUGUUACCAGGCCAAUUAUGUGGAAGUAAUAAGCAAGAAACCUGUAAAAGUAUUAAUAAUUACACAUAAAAAGACAAUGAGUUAACCAAUGAUAAAUGUAAUUUCUAAUAGAACAAAAUCUAUAUAAUUGAUAGGGAUUAUAUUUUGACAAAUAUACGUAUGAAAGUAUCACAACAACAAACAUUUUCCAAGCUGAAAGCCUCAAUUAGAGAAUUGCUCAAACAAAAAGGCUAAAGGUGGAAAGAAAUCAGAAACAAAAUAUGUCGAUAAAUUAAGUGACAUCCAAUGAAAUUCAAGAGGAAACGAAAGUAAGAAAACAAAAGCAAUGACAUAUUAACAGUGAAAUAAUAGCAGUGAUCAUAUACAUACCUGGGAAAAAUGUAUAUGAGAAGAAGACAAAUAGAACAAUAAAAAGAAAACAACUUAUUGUGGACCCUUAUAGAGAACAAUUAAGAAUAUAAUAAAUUGUGAGGAAAAAUUAAUGGUUGGGAAAAGGAAAAGUUAGUACAAUGUACACUAACUUUAAAGAUGCAGUUAUAUGAAUUGAACAGACAACUUUUAGCUAUAGAGGUAUUACGUUUAACAUGAAUAGUAAAUAAUAAUAUUAUUUGGAAAUUAGAAAGGGCAGAACUUUUACAUCAAAAAAGAAAAAAAAAGAAAAAUUGAGGAAAAAGAUUAGUAAGGAUGCUUGUUUAAGAUUGUAGUAAAUAAAUUAUGCGGGCACAUUGAGAGAAAACUGAAUAUGGAGCAUUAAAUGAGACUGUUGAACUUCUAAAAAAUUAAACAGACAAAAAAACACUACUAAACUUUCAUUCACUCGCCAUUUAUGUGAUUUUAAUAUCAUUAUUUAAUUAAAUAUUUCAAUCUUUAGGUAAUUAAAAUAUUAUUAUUUAAUUAGAUAUUUUAUUAAUUAAUAUUAACUUAUUUAGAUAUUUUAUAAUAUUUUAAACUAGAAUAAGGGUAAAAUGGUAUUUCAACUUUUAAAUUUGUGACUUCCCACUUUUAGUAUAGUAUGAUAUGAUAGUAUGAUAUGAUUAUAUAUUUUGUAUACUGAUAUAGUUUUAAUAGUAUAUUCAAACGCUUUAACCUUGGACAACAAACUUCAUCAAACUGUAGGCAAUAAUGACUAAGGAUUAAAAGAUGAAAUUAGCAUAUAUUAGGCCCAUGCUCAGCUAUGGCGCACCACCACUAGUAUGUAUAUAGAUGUGUGAUAGUUGCAGGGUUACAUUAUAUAGGGUCGCCAUCAAUGUUAUAUCUGGUUAAAUGGUACGUUAUUUUUUUACGUGUGUCUUGCAUUACUUAUUAAUAAAUAUAUAUAAAAAGAAUAAAUUAUUAUAUAUAUGUUAUAUUAUUGAAUCUAAAUAUGAAACGACAAAGUAGCUGCACCAACUUCAUUUCCCUUUUAUUCUUAAGAAGACAUUCAUAUACCAUACAUACAGCUGGCACACAGCAGCAUAUAGGCUUGCAUUCAGGAAAAGCUAAAACAAAAGCUUCCCAUCCAUGUUAUUUUCAAGCAUAGAAUUAUUACAUAUUGUAAUAUUAUUAAUUAAACAUAUGCAUAUAUCUCAACUGUCUGACAAGUAACAAUUACUUAAAUAGUUGAAGGUGGGGCAAUCACUGCACCCUUAGCAAUCUUGGACUUGAAAGACUCAGUUAAAUCUGAAGUCAUAUUUAGAGAGAUCUCUAAAACUGAUGGAGAUAUUGCUUCCCAAAUUGACUUUUUCCCACCUGAUAAUCCUCCAUAUACUUGC